GACGAACGCUGGCGGCGUGCUUAAUACAUGCAAGUCAACUGAACUUGAAGUAGCAAUAUUUCAAGGGAGGUGGCGCACGGGUGAGUAACACGUAGGUAAUCUGCCUUUAGGUCUGACAUAAUUCCGCGAAAGCGGGACUAACUUCAGAUGAUGCAGCGGCUCGACAUCGAGACAGUUGUUAAAUCUUCGGAGCCUAAAGAUGAGCCUGCGUCUGAUUAGGUAGUUGGCGGAGUAAAAGCCCACCAAGCCUGCGAUCAGUAGCUGGUCUGAGAGGAUGAUCAGCCACACUGGGACUGAGACACGGCCCAGACUCCUACGGGAGGCAGCAGUGGGGAAUAUUGGACAAUGGGCGCAAGCCUGAUCCAGCCAUGCCGCGUGAGUGAUGAAGGCCUUAGGGUUGUAAAGCUCUUUCGCCGGUGAAGAUAAUGACGGUAACCGGUAAAGAAGCCCCGGCUAACUUCGUGCCAGCAGCCGAC
rnacentral:rRNA from 1 species